rnacentral:rRNA from 1 species
UUAAGAAUCUUGCGCAAUGGACGAAAGUCUGACGCAGCGGCGCCGCGUGAAGGAUGAAGGCUUUCGGGUUGUAAACUUCGGUAGACUGGGAAGAAAAAGUACGUUCGUUGAGGGCGUGCAUUGACGGUACCAGUCUGAAGCCCCGGCUAAUUACGUGCCAGCAGCCGCGGUAAUACGUAUGGGGCAAGCGUUGUUCGGAAUUAUUGGGCGUAAAGGGCUCGCAGGUGGUUUUUUUAAAGUUGGGGGUUUUAAUCUCUGGGCUCAACCCAGAGUCAGCCUUCAAAACCUGGAGAACUUGAGUACGAUAGGGGAUAGCGGAAUUCUCGGUGUAGCGGUGGAAUGCGUAGAUAUCGAGAGGAACACCAAUGGCGAAGGCAGCUAUCUGGAUCGUAACUGACACUC